rnacentral:rRNA from 1 species
UCGCAUCCUGGGAUUGGAUAAGAUCCCAAGGGUUGGACUGUUCGUCCAUUAAAGCGGCACGUGAGCUGGGUUCAGACCGUCGUGAGCCAGGUCGGUCUCUAUCCGGUACAGGCGUUGUAUAUUUGAGGGAGUUGACCCCUAGUACGAAAGGAUCGGGGUGCGGUAACCUCUAGUGUACCAGUUGUUCCGCCAGGAGCAUCGCUGGGUAGCUAAGUUGCUAACGGAUAAGCACUGAAAGCAUAUAAGUGCGAAGCCGGUCCCAAGAUUAAAUAUACUUGAGUGUCUUGAACACUCUGAAGCUCCGUGGAAGAUUACCACGUUGAUAGGCUCUAGGUGUAAGCACAGCAAUGUGUUUAGCCGAGGAGUACUAAUCGAGCGAAUACUUUUUGAAU